GACGAACGCUGGCGGCGUGCCUAAUACAUGCAAGUUGAGCGCUGAAGGUUGGUACUUGUACCGACUGGAUGAGCAGCGAACGGGUGAGUAACGCGUGGGGAAUCUGCCUUUGAGCGGGGGACAACAUUUGGAAACGAAUGCUAAUACCGCAUAAAAACUUUAAACACAAGUUUUAAGUUUGAAAGAUGCAAUUGCAUCACUCAAAGAUGAUCCCGCGUUGUAUUAUCUAGUUGGUGAGGUAAAGGCUCACCAAGGCGAUGAUACAUAGCCGACCUGAGAGGGUGAUCGGCAACAUUGGGACUGAGACACGGCCCAAACUCCUACGGGAGGCAGCAGUAGGGAAUCUUCGGCAAUGGACGAAAGUCUGACCGAGCAACGCCGCGUGAGUGAAGAAGGUUUUCGGAUCGUAAAACUCUGUUGGUAGAGAAGAACGUUGGUGAGAGUGGAAAGCUCAUCAAGUGACGGUAACUACCCAGAAAGGGACGGCUAACUACGUGCCAGCAGCCGCCGCAG
rnacentral:rRNA from 1 species